UAGGAGGCAGCAGUGAGGAAUUUUGCGCAAUGGGCUAACGCCUGACGCAGCAACGCCGCGUGGAGGAUGAAGGUCUUUGGAUUGUAAACUCCUGUCAGCAGGGAAAAAGCAACCUGACCUCAUACGUCAGGGAGUUGAUUGUACCUGCAGAGGAAGCCCCGGCUAACUCUGUGCCAGCAGCCGCGGUAAUACAGAGGGGGCAAGCGUUAUUCGGAAUUAUUGGGCGUAAAGGGCGCGUAGGCGGCCUGGCAAGUGGAAGGUGAAAUCCCUCGGCUUAACCGAGGAACUGCCUUCCAGACUGCUUGGCUUGAGACCGGGAGAGGUGAGUGGAAUUCCCAGUGUAGCGGUGAAAUGCGUAGAUAUUGGGAGGAACACCAGUGGCGAAGGCGGCUCACUGGACCGGUACUGACGCUGAGGCGCGAAAGCGUGGGGAGCAAACGGGAUUAGAUACCCCGGUA
rnacentral:rRNA from 1 species